GUCGGUUUGUCCGAGUGGUCUAAGGAGUUCGGCUUGAAACCGAAUGUGUUUACACGCGUAGGUUCGAACCCUACAGCCGACG
rnacentral:tRNA from 1 species